rnacentral:tRNA from 1 species
GAUGGUGUAGCUCAGCGGUUAGAGCGGUUGACUGUUAAUCAACAGGUCGAUGGUUCAAAUCCAUCCACCAUCGCCA